rnacentral:rRNA from 1 species
UACGUAGGGGGCAAGCGUUGUCCGGAUUUAUUGGGCGUAAAGAGCGUGUAGGCGGCCAUGUAGGUCCGUUGUGAAAACUCGAGGCUCAACCUCGAGACGCCGAUGGAAACCAUGUGGCUAGAGUCCGGAAGAGGAGAGUGGAAUUCCUGGUGUAGCGGUGAAAUGCGCAGAUAUCAGGAGGAACACCGGUGGCGAAGGCGGUGAUCUGGGCCGGUACUGACGCUGAGGAGCGAAAGCGUGGGGAGCAAACAGG